AGGAAAGGCGAGGCUCUGCAUCUAGAUUUACCUCGUUCUCUUUUGUCUCCGCUUUUUUUUCACAUUUCCUUGCGACCCUGGCCCUUGAGCGACAAAAAGGGGAAGCCAAGGCUGGCCCGAGGAACGGAGAGGGCACAUGGCCUAGCCACAAGUGGAGCUUCUGCUCCGCCCGAAGGGAUGCGCUGGAGCGGCCUCUUCCUUCUGCCACGGUCUUUCUUUGCCAACUAGUAGGUGAGGGCCGAAAGGCCGCGGGCCGUGGAGCUCGGGCCGGGGAGACUCUUUUCUAGCCUCUUGGGUCCCGCUCCUCCCAAUUCCCUGGAGAGGCGUCGAGCUUGCUGGGAAGUGCCCUCGGGUAAGGGGCGCGGAGCCUCCUGCGGCGAUCCUCUGUCUUCGGGUCGCCUUAGCAGGACGCGGCAAGCGGGACACUGACCUGGCCGGAGUCCCGCGUUCUCUCACCAGCUGCUUUGUCCACGAGUUGCUGCUGGGCGUCAGGGGUCCCACGGCCCGGAGGGAUCUAGAGCAGGGGGGCUCGGGGUCCUUUCCAUACCCUCGGAUCCUCUCCCACUCUCUCCACGCCUCGACCCGGAGAUGAUUUCAGGCUCCAGAUCUCUUUCAUAAAUGGAAAGAGUUUUUUUGGUUUGUUUUGUCUUAAUUAUGUAGGUGUUGCAUGCUUGGAAGAGAAAAUUUAGAAAAUUAAUUGGAAAACCAUAAAGAUAGCUUUCUCGUGAUAGCCACAAGGCUUGCUCCCUCAUUCUGCUCAUAUGUCACCCCCUCAAGGAGGCCUUCCCCAGCUCUGUAAACAACCUGUGCUCGGCGUUAACUUUUCUCCCUAAUGUUUAUCACUACCUGACAUAUACGUGUUUCCCACGACUCAACGAUAAGUGUUCAUGAGGGCAGACACUUUUUAAUGCCCUAUGACAAGCACCUAGAAUUGUGCCUGGCACAUGGUAGAUGCUUAGUAAAUAUUUGUUUAAUGAAUGAAGGUAAAAAACAUUUCUAAUACGACCAUCCAGGAAUAAGUACUAUUCAUGUUUUAGUGUGUUCUUACAGUUUUACUGUUCAGACAGUUAUAUGCCUGUGAAUAUAUAUUAUAUAUGUGUGUAUAUAUAUAUAUAUAUAUAUAUAUAUAUUUUUUUUUUUUUUUUGAGACAGAGUCUCGCUCUGUCACCCAGGCUGGACUGCAGUGGCGCGAUCUUGGCUCACUGCAACCUCCGCCUCCUGGAUUCAAGCGAUUCUUCUGCCUCAGCCUCCCGAGUAGCUAGGAUUACAGGCAUGUGUCACCACGCCCGGCUAAUUUUGUAUUUUUAGUAGAGACGGGGUUUCUCCGUGUUGGUCAGGCUGGUCUCGAACUCCUGACCUCAGGUGAUCUGCCCGCCUCGGCCUCCCAAAGUGCUGAGAUUACAGACGUGAGCCACCGUGCCUGGCGGAAUUUUCAUAUUUUAAGUCCCCCACCCUUGGACAUUUAGAUUUUUUCCAUCUUUCUGUAUUUGCAGAUAUGCUUCUACGUACACCUUUAUUCAUUUGCUUGAACAUUUCCCUGAGAAAAACUAGAAAUGGAAUUGCCAGAUUACUUUGUGUACAUGUUUCCAAACUGUCCUCCAGAAAGAAUGUAAUGCUUUGAACUUCCACUUGAGAAUCAAAUGUUUACCUUCCUCUGUUCCUCCAGAUUUGGACAUUUACAGUGUUCAGCCGUUGUUGUGGCAUUCCAAUUCAAUUGGGAAACAGCUUGAUGUAGCGUCCCCAUAAGGUCCACAGUAAUUAAAUUUUUUUUUUUUUUUUUUGGUGCGGUAGUGCAAUUUCAUGGCUCACUGCAACCUCCACCUCCCAGGUUCAAGCGAUCCUCCCAUCUCAGCCUCCCUAGUAGCUGGGAUUACAGGUGCACGCCACCACACCAGGCUAAUUUUUGUAUUUUUAGUAGAGAUGGGGUUUCACCAGGUUAGCCAGGCUGGUCUUGAACUCCAGACCUCAAGGGAUCCGCCUGCCUCAGCUUUCCAAAGUGCUGGGAUUACAGGUGAGAACCACUGCACCCAUCCUAUUAAACUUUUAAAUCAUGAUAGUUACCAUGUAUAGAGUGUUUAUAUGCCAGGCAUUGAGCUAAGUCUUUUACGUCUUGCGCUCAUUCUGUGCAACAGCCCAAUGGGAGAAAUUCCAUGAAUAUAGUUACCAUUUCCUUGAUUUCUAGAGAAGCUGGAUAUGUUUUCUUUUUUUCCAGUAUUAUUUCUAUUUAUCCUUUUGUGAAUUGUCUGUUGUUAUUUUCAUUGGAAUAUUCUCUUUUUUUGACAGAGUCUCACUCUGUUGCCCAGGCUGGAGUGCAAUGGCACGAUCUCGGCUCAUUGCAAACCUCUGCCUCCUGGGUUCAAGCAAUUCUCCUGCCUCAGCCUCCCAAGUAGCUGGGAUUACAGGCACCCGCCACCACGCCCAGCUAAUUUUUUGUAUUUUUAGUAGAGACGGGGUUUUGCCAUGUUGGCCAGGCUGGUCUCGAACUCCUGACCUCAGGUGAUCCACCCAUUUCGGCCUCCCAAAGUACUGGGAUUACAGGCGUGAGCACCUGUGCCCGGCCACACCAUUAUUUUGAAGAGAAAAUUUGAUAAAAAUAAUUGGUCAGUUGUAAAGAUGGUUAACUACCCAACUGGUAAGAGAGAUUUCUAAGAGUUACAGAAUAGCAACUGCAGGAAGGAACUUGUGCCCUUAGGACUGAGGAAGUAAAAAGGAGGGAAACUUGGAAACACGAAAGAGCCCUUCCCCUUUCAAUUCAAGGUGGAGACUGGACCUCAGAAGAGGGAGUGGGUGCCCCGAGAACUCACAGCUAGCGGACAGUGGAAAGGGCAGGAGCCGGACCAAGUGUUCAUCCAUCGCCCUGUAUUAGCGAAGAACAACAUCAAGCUGGCUAGCAAGGAACUGUAUACAGGGUCCAGCUGGGUAUCACACUGGAUCUCACCCAAAGCUUAGAUGUGAUCCAGCUCAGUAUCACAAAGCAGAACGAAAAGGAUGUGUUUGGGCUGAGAGGCCAUACAUUGGCUCCGGCAUGACGGGUGACUUCUUCCGAGUCUGGCUUCUGCAGCACACAGGGCUUCGCCAGCACCCAGCUCCUGCAGCAUGGGCAGCUCCUGUGACAGCAGGCGCCCGCAGCCUGCAAAGCGUCUCCAGUGCCGCCGCCUCAGUGAACCUCAACCAGCGGCACCUAGCAGCUUUCUCUGCCACCCUCUUCAGGUCUGGAUCUAAGCCCAGGGACCAGGAAACCUCUUGCUUGAGUGCUGGAACUCAGGCCAGAAGGACAUCCCUGUAGAAGUUCUGCUGCGUGUGGUCCAGCCGUCCCCACUCCUCCCGGGAGAGGUAC
rnacentral:lncRNA from 1 species